AUCCAGCCGAUGAGUCCCAAAUAGGACGAAACGC
rnacentral:hammerhead_ribozyme from 1 species